GUACGACGUGUGGCCUAGACGCCAAGGGGAAAGUACGGCGCGUCGUGCGGCCCGUCCUCGCACCGUCGCAGGAGCGCAUCGUGCGGCCCGUCGUGGGCAGCCUCGAAAAUCACAGCAACCACGUCUCCCUCCCUGGUCCCUCCCUUGUCCGCCGCCGCACCCCCGUUCUUCUCCUGCUCUCUCUCUCUCUCUCUUCUGCGACGUUCCUCCUUCGCGCGCCUCGCCCCGUCUUCCAUCCUCAUGUUCUUCUUCAACACCCCCUCCUCGGCUAGAUGGCGCCUCUGGGGGUGAAGGAGCAGGGGAGGGCCAAGAGGCCAGCGGUGUGGGGUGGAGCAGCGAGGCCGGCGACCCAGGCGGCGGACGCCUCACGGGGUGGAGGAGAGGCUGGCGACAGGGAAGGAGCAGAAUCCUCAUGGAGCGGCAGGGAAGGUGAAGUCCCGACGGCUGAAGAUGGUGCGCACGGGAGGAGCUCGGAUGAUGUCAAGGACGUUUAGCAGGCCUGACUUAAGAUCGAACCCCUGACGGAGUUUAAGCAUGGUCCGGCCGCUUGGUGCGUUUCUAUCUUACCUGUUGUCAUCAAACUGGUGCCACAAAUCCAAUGGAUUUUGUUUCUGUUAAAUCAUAUUACGUCCAGAAAUGUGAGUUUAUAUCCGCUGCAUCUUUAGGGAAGUCUUUUUUUUUACGCUGCAAAUAAUGUGUGUGCUUAUCCCAUUAACUUGAGUGUGUUAUUACAAAUUGCAGGAGCAUGAAUGGUCCACAGCUCAGCUGGCUGUUGUUUCUGUAAGAAAUUACUUUCUUCAUUAUGCAUUGCUCAUGAUUAUUCUGUCUUGAAUAAACAUAUGGUGUGGCACUUUUCGUAUAAUGAUUUUAUAUCUUUCUGGUCCCAAAUCAUGCCGUUGAUUUACUUUCGUGUUAUUUCAUUACUUCCGAUCAUUUUGGCUCUGAAAAGCAAUAGUAUAGUAUAUCCAUGGAGUAUAAUAGGUUUGUUUGUUUGUUCUAUCAAGCCAGUUUUAUUCCAUUUGCAUGAGCAUAUACCAAACUUUUUUCAUGCUCGCUCGUGAACAAGAUGAGAGCACUGGUUAUGUAUUUCCAAACAAAGCUUUGAUUGAGAUAGGUAUUACCGAUUUCUUUGGAUUGCUAUGCUGCAAAACUUGAUGUAUUGUCUUGGCUAACUCUCCUUUUUUUAAUUCAAAAACAAAGAAGAUUCCUACAACUACUGCAGAUUUGCAAAGAAUCGUGCAAUCAGAAUAUCCAUGUAUCAAAAGCAAAAAAGAUGCCUACAACUACUAUACAUGAAUGAUGAUCUAUAUUGCUGCCACAGAGAAUAUAUAUCGUAGUGCUCUCAAUAUAAAUUAAAAUGUUACUAGGGUCCUUGGUUAAUGCAUUGUUUUUUCCUUUCCCAUCCAGAAUGAUAUUUGAAGAUACGGAAUUAGUAUGAGAUCGCUUUAGGGGGUUUAAACACUUGGAUAAGAUUAAACACAUGUUGUACCGAAUUGGCAGUCCUUCAUCCAAAUUUUCUUGAUAAUGGUACACCAUUUGGCGAUGGGUUCUCUAAAAAAAUUAAAAUUCCACUAGAUAUCAUUUAGAUAUAAUGGAAAAGGGAUCAGAAAUGCGGUUUGUAUGACCGAAUACAUCCUUAACAUAUGGUUGUUCAUUAUACUCUGGUAGUGAGAUCGGUUAGUAAUGUUACACAUAAUAUAUAUUUUCCAGUUGUGUCCCUCACUCUCUUAAGCAUGUUUCUGUUGUAUACUGGUUAGUUGUCACAAUGCAUGUAUUUGAGGCUGUCGUCGGGUCUCCACUGUUGUACAUUUGUCUUGCCACUUUGUUGUUCAAAUUAUUUUUAGGAAACUAUUUGAACUCUUCUGAAGGCCAUUUGUUCUUAAUGUUUCUUUUCUUUAUAAGUAUCUCCAUAAUGGCACUUUCCACCUGGAAAAAGCAUCAAGGUCAGCGAUCCAGUUUUUGUUCUAUAGGCAUCUCUUCUUUGAAUGAGGCAUGGCAGGAGAUGAUGUAUCUGUUUUAUGUGUGUCAGAAGAGGCAUCCGGUUGCUUGACUUUGUACGCACGUUCUGGUUCUUUAAUCUUAGUUGUACAACCUAUAACUAUCCAAUUUAUUCUUUGUAUACCAACUCAAAGCUGUGAAUUGAUGACCACACCUGCUAAGACAAUCUUGAAAUAUUUUGUUGGGUC